CCUACGUGAGGCAGCAGUGAGGAAUAUUGGUCAAUGGCCGGGAGGCUGAACCAGCCAAGUCGCGUGAGGGAAGACGGCCCUACGGGUUGUAAACCUCUUUUGUCAGGGAGCAAGGUGCAGGUCGGGACCUGCUGUGAGAGUACCUGAAGAAAAAGCAUCGGCUAACUCCGUGCCAGCAGCCGCGGUAAUACGGAGGAUGCGAGCGUUAUCCGGAUUUAUUGGGUUUAAAGGGUGCGUAGGCGGACAGUCAAGUCAGCGGUAAAAAUGCGGUGCUCAACGCCGUACAGCCGUUGAAACUGGCAGUCUUGAGUGGGCGAGAAGUAUGCGGAAUGCGUGGUGUAGCGGUGAAAUGCAUAGAUAUCACGCAGAACUCCGAUUGCGAAGGCAGCAUACCGGCGCCCGACUGACGCUGAGGCACGAAAGCGUGGGUAUCGAACAGGAUUAGAUACCCGAGUAGUC
rnacentral:rRNA from 1 species